UUAAAUGCCUGUAUGUACAUUAUAUAUUUAUAACAUAGUCUAGCACUUUUUUGUAGAUAUUGUAGCAGUAGCACAUCUUUCAUUCGUAUGCAUAGCCAUAUUGUAUUAUUUGUAUAGAAGAUUUUUAAUUAAACAUCACGUUCUGGGCUUAUGUUCACUUGUAUUGUCCAGUUGUUUGUGUAUUGGGUACUUUUGUCCUGCUCCCGAAAAAGGUUCCUGAUAAAUGCCAAAAACCACCAAAGAAUACAGAGAUAAAGCCAUUCUUAUCCAAAACCUCAUAGUACAUAUUUGUUUUCAUCUGAUAUGAACCGUUUCGAUCGUCUCGUGGUAGCGUGAUCGCCUAGAGUGUGGGAGGUUGUGGGUUCGAACCCCGGACGGGUUAAAAUCAAAAACCUUCUGAAUCUUG
rnacentral:lncRNA from 1 species